UGUGCAGGGUGUGGGACUUAAGAGGAGGAAAGCCCAGCAAUUGAAUACUGGUGGGGGGAGAAAACAGGUGGGUUUGAGCAAACCUGAAUGAGUGGGGCACUAAAGCCCAAAGAAACUGGUGAAAUGGGUAAAGACUGAGUCCCCAAGGAGCUAGCGGCUAAUGGCUGGACUAGAACUCAGGGACAAAGGAGGAAAGUCCAGCAGAAUUGAGUGGAGAAAGGAGCAGAAAGAGGCCUGUGGCAGACUCUAGGAUCUGUGUGAGGUCAGUUGGUGUAUACAUGAGCUAGAGAGCAACAUACUGGAGAAUGCAGAGGACAUCAGUAAAGGCAUCACAUCAGUAAAGGCUCUUUCAUCGGGGUGUCCAGAAGGGAAGGAGGGUUCCUAGGCAUUACAGUCAGACAUAACAACAACAAUAAUAAUAACCAGGACUAUUCUAAUGGAGCUGUGCCAACACUUGUUCAAUUUCCAUUGGAGCAAGACCACUUAAGAUGCUCUGGAUAGUCUUCUUGCUCUAAAGAGAACUGACCCAUUAGAUCUAGUCCACCUACUCAAUAGCUGUUUGGAAUGCAGCUGUACUGGAAAUCUCAUGGCGGUGUAAGCAAUAUGUACAAAUGACAAUGGGUCUUGCCUAAUUAGGGGAAUUUUUGGGAUCUGGGAUUUGUGUUUAGGCUCGUUUUUAGUCUAAAACAUGCAUUUAAAUAAAUUAAAUUCUGAAUUUGCUCAAACUUCAACUUACUUGUGAAAUCAAACCCUAAAAGUUCCACGGUCCAUAAAUUUGACCCCUUUAACCUUUUGAUAAUGCUCGAGUUCCAGCACAAUACAACUAAAGUCCAGCUAAAACUGCCAAAGAUCAACACACAAGUGCCUUAAGGAAAUUCCAGCCUUCCUUGCAGGUGACCAGUACCUACGUAGGUGUGUGAGAGAAUGUAACAUGGAGUGAGUGCCAGCAUGCGUAAGACAUGCAGCAAAAAAGACCAUGGCCACUGGAAAGAAGAGUAGUAAGUCAGAAACAAAUAAUGAGAGCAGGUCAGAGGGAUUGGGGAUCUGGAAGAGGAGAAAGAGAGACUGGAGUAGGAAAGCUAACAGAAUGAAGAGAGUCUUGGACAGAGAAAUGACCUUGGAAUGGAGAGAGAGAGAUCUUGCCAUGAAAAAAAGAAAGAGAGACUAGCCAAUGAGAUGUGCUGAGGGAUGCAGUCCUUGCAGAUCCAGCCAAGAGACCUGCGUGUCUGAAAAGCUUUUUAUAUUAGUUGUGUUAUUUUCCAUUCCUAAAGAUAACAUCUUUUCAGAGAGAAAAACACAUUUUUAUUGAAUUUUGUGAAUGUUCAUAUUGAAAGAAAAAUGUGUUUUUCAUUUCUGACUUCUUUGUUUUAUGAAACAUUGGCCACUUUAGAACUUUUUGAAAGACCCUACAGAACCCUGGAACUUUUAAGUUCCAUCCUUAAUACCGUCAUUUAAAAAGGCACUAUCAAGAAGUUAAAUCUUGUGUGUGUGUGUUAACUUUAACAUGAUCUUCUCGAGUGGAAUUUCCUCUGGAUUACAAGUAUCAUUUUUUAAAAAAUUCCACCAUCUCAUUCCUAAAACAUUAAAGAGAAAAUCAUAGUCCCUGGUUAUGCCAGACCCUGCAAUGUUUUUGCUCAGUUGCAGAGCAGACAGCCAGAGGGAGCAUGAUUUUACUGUCACACCGUGUUUCCAAGGAAUUUAAAUGAAUGAGAUGGAAUGAGGGGUGCAGGGCUGGAAUAUAAUACGAAGGUAUUAAAAUACUGAUGCUCUCUUUAGUUACUGGCUAUAUGUUCUGCAUACUGCAAUUGAAUCACUUCGUAGCCUCUGGUUAUGAAUUAGAGUGGUCUUGGUGGUUAGUUUCUUUGGAUACUGUGAUUAUGUAUUUGGAGGUGUCCGCACUCCUUGACUACUUUGGGUGAUGCCUUUACAUCCUAGGCAUCUUCUGCACCAUUAGUUGCUUGCUGCUUAGGAUGUUGUGAACAAUCCCUGAGUUAGUUUUGUUUUUAAUUUCUUGCUAGCACGUAACCAUGCCUUGAUGUCUUCAGCCUUUCUCAUAACUGCCUUGAUGAUGAUGUGCAGUUGGGAUAGCAUCCAAUAAGAGGUGGAAAGAGGAGUAGCUGAGGGAGGAGGGGAAAUACACUUGAAAUGAGCAACAAUGUGAUUUUCUGCUUUCAGCAGGAGCUAGGUUGGGGAGCGGCCACCAAUGCAGACCCUUGAGUCUCGUGGCCUGUCUGCUGAUGUAAUUGACUACAUUAUACAAGGGUCACUGAUUGCCCCAGGGAAUUCUGUUGGGCUCUUGUGACAAACUAGUUGUUCCCCGUUGGGGGUCCAGUAUUGGUAACUCACUGGACAAGGGCUACUGUGCUAUUAGAAUGUGCUAUUAGAAUCCAGUGGUGGGCUUCUUUGGACCAUGCUAGGUUCCAUUUGGCCACCUAGGGGAAUGUGAGGGUCUGCGUCACUUGGCUGAUGCCCACAAAAAGAGCAGUAUGACAAAGAGAGCUCCAUUUCCUGCCUACCGGUGCCUCAUAAUCAGUUUGCCCAGCACGCAUUGGCAUUAGUUGGGACUGUCACCUACGUUUCAUAAGCUGUUUAUUGCAUAGUUAGUCAUGGGUUUUCUUGUGCGUGCAGAAAGGAGAGACAAGGAAAUGGAGAUCCAUGAGACAUGGGAAGGGGGUGUCAAUAAAACCCAAUUACUAUUGGAAAACUCUACACUGGAUGAUGAUGAUUGCACUGCAUUAACUUUGGCCACACCAUGUACCUUGCCACACCAAUAAAGUUAU